UCUGUAGGUGGUUUAAUAAGUCAACUGUUAAAUCUUGAGGCUCAACCUCAAAAUCGCAGUCGAAACUAUUAGACUAGAGUAUAGUAGGGGUAAAGGGAAUUUCCAGUGGAGCGGUGAAAUGCGUAGAUAUUGGAAGGAACACCGAUGGCGAAGGCACUUUACUGGCUAUUACUAACACUCAGAGACGAAAGCUAGGGUAGCAAAUG
rnacentral:rRNA from 1 species